rnacentral:rRNA from 1 species
UACCAGCACCCCGAGUGGUCGGGACGUUUAUUGGGCCUAAAGCAUCCGUAGCCGGUUCUGCAAGUCUUCCAUUAAAUCCACCUGCUUAACAGAUGGGCCGCGGAAGAUACUAUAGAGCUAGGAGGCGGGAGAGGCAAGCGGUACUCGAUGGGUAGGGGUAAAAUCCGUUGAUCCAUUGAAGACCACCAGUGGCGAAGGCGGCUUGCCAGAACGCGCUCGACGGUGAGGGAUGAAAGCUGGGGGAGCAAACCGG